rnacentral:rRNA from 1 species
UACGGAGGGAGCUAGCGUUGUUCGGAAUUACUGGGCGUAAAGCGCACGUAGGCGGCUUUGUAAGUUAGAGGUGAAAGCCCGGGGCUCAACCCCGGAAUUGCCUUUAAGACUGCAUCGCUUGAAUCCGGGAGAGGUGAGUGGAAUUCCGAGUGUAGAGGUGAAAUGCGUAGAGAUGUGGAGGAACACCAGUGGCGAAGGCGACUCUUUGGCCUGUAACUGACGCUGAGGCGCGAAAGCCAGGGGAGCAAACGGG